rnacentral:rRNA from 1 species
UAAGCGGAGGAAAAGAAACUAACAAAGGAUUCCCCUAGAACUGCGAGNGAAGCGGGAAAAGCUCAAAUUUAAAAUCUGGUGGUCUUUGGCCAUNCGAGUUGUAAUCUAGAGAAGCGUCUUCCGCGCUGNNCCGUGCACAAGUCUCCUGGAACGGAGCGUCGUAGAGGGUGAGAAUCCCGUCUUUGGCAUGGACACACCAGGGCUUUUGUGAUGCGCUCUCGAAGAGUCGAGUUGUUUGGGAAUGCAGCUCAAAAUGGGUGGUGAACUCCAUCUAAAGCUAAAUAUUGGCAAGAGACCGAUAGCGAACAAGUACCGUGAGGGAAAGAUGAAAAGCACUUUGGAAAGAGAGUGAAACAGUACGUGAAAUUGUUGAAAGGGAAACGCUUGAAGUCAGUCGCGUCGACCGAGACUCAGCCUCGCCUCGGCUUGGUGUACUUCUCGGCCCGACGGGUCAGCAUCAAUUUCGCCUCUUGGAUAAUGGCGAGGGAAACGUGACACCUUUACGGUGUGUUAUAGUCUCUCGUCGCAUGCAAGGGUCGGGAUUGAGGAACUCAGCACGCGCCUUUGGGCGUCGGGGCUUUGCCUACGAUACGUGCUUAGGAUGUUGGCGUAAUGGCUUUAAACGACC